rnacentral:tRNA from 1 species
GCGGCAGUGGUGUAGUGGUAACACAAUAGCCUUCCAAGCUAUUUUCACGGGUUCGAAUCCCGUCUGCCGCUCCA